CGGGGCGUAGCGCAGUUCGGCAGCGCGCACGGAUCGGGACCGUGAGGUCGGGAGUUCAAAUCUCCCCGCCCCGACUA
rnacentral:tRNA from 1 species